AACAAACCGCGAAGUUAUAACUAUA
rnacentral:piRNA from 1 species